GCGGGAGUAGUUCAAUGGUGGAACGCGAGCUUUCCAAGCUUGAUGUUGCGGGUUCGAGUCCCGUCUCCCGCUCCA
rnacentral:tRNA from 1 species